rnacentral:rRNA from 1 species
AAUAGAUACCCUGGUAGUCCACGCCGUAAACGAUGAGUGCUAAGUGUUAGGGGGUUUCCGCCCCUUAGUGCUGCAGCUAACGCAUUAAGCACUCCGCCUGGGGAGUACGGUCGCAAGACUGAAACUCAAAGGAAUUGACGGGGGCCCGCACAAGCGGUGGAGCAUGUGGUUUAAUUCGAAGCAACGCGAAGAACCUUACCAGGUCUUGACAUCCCAUUGACCACUAUGGAGACAUAGUUUUCCCUUCGGGGACAACGGUGACAGGUGGUGCAUGGUUGUCGUCAGCUCGUGUCGUGAGAUGUUGGGUUAAGUCCCGCAACGAGCGCAACCCUUGUUCUUAGUUGCCAUCGUUUAGUUGGGCACUCUAAGGAGACUGCCGGUGACAAACCGGAGGAAGGUGGGGAUGACGUCAAAUCAUCAUGCCCCUUAUGACCUGGGCUACACACGUGCUACAAUGGACGGUACAAACGGUUGCCAACCCGCGAGGGGAGCUAAUCCGAUAAAACCGUUCUCAGUUCGGAUUGUAGGCUGCAACUCGCCUACAUGAAGCC